AAGUUCCCCAUCUCUACUCUCUGCUUUUAGUGAUUUGAAACACAUUGUUUAUGACAAAGGCAACAACAAAGUGGGGAAAGAAAGUUUCCCAGGCUUACAAGAAGAGUUGCAGAAUAUCGGUUGGGAGGAAGUUCCAAGCUCCUUUCAAUCUAUUGCGAACCGAAUCGAAAAGAAUCGUGGAAUAGUUACCGAGUUUACCUAUAAACUGGUUUGUGCUGCAAUACAAGAGAUGGAAAAUUUUCCAGUUGAGAAAUUGGACAUUGAUACGUUGAAAAACUGGGGGGCUACACUUUAUAAGGCCAAGGAACUUGGCUUUCAGGUGGGAUUUGCUGCUGAUUUGUUAAAGAAGAAUUUUUUUGCCUACUUAAGCUUACACACAAGUUUUUGGAUGAGACUAAAAAAAGGAGGUCUGCAUUUGCAGCAAAACUCACAAAACUUAUUUGGUAUUUGGGUUUCUAUAUUUUCUCUAUUUCAACUAUAUGGUUUUGGAUGUCUUGCAUGGAUUUGGUAUUUUGCAAUAAUUUAUACUAUGAUUUUUGAGACAUUGAUAUAUUUCAUCAGUAUAUGCUAAUCUAUGUAUGAAAUUGUGUUGGUUAUUUUACCUAGUUUAUUAUGUUAAAAUCGUAUGUUUAUACACAUUUUCAUUGGUUAAUAAUAUAUCUAACCUGCAACAUGUAAAUCAAUUUAUCAUUUAUAAGUUUCAUUUAUUAGCUAAACACAAUUCCAGUCUCUCUUAACAUGAAAUUCUAACUUAGCCAAAUAAGAUUUCAAUUUAUCAAUAAUUCCAGUAACUUUAUCAUGAGAUCAAUUAACGUUGUGGCACCUAGUGCCUAGUGGUAAACCGCAGAAAAAGGGUUGCGCCCAGUGCUAUUCGGAUGAACCGACGGUAAUGAAUGUGAGCUCAUCUCUGGUUGGAUAAACCAACAAUAUUUUGCACCCAGUGCUAGUAGGGUAUACCGACGAUAAUAAUUGUGAGCCUAGCUCUAGUUGGAUGAACCAACGGUGAUUGCACCUAGCGCUAGUCGGAUAAACAAAUUGUGUGCCCAGCACAAGUCAAACAAGUUGACAAAGAUUGCGCCCAACGCUAGUCGAAUGUAUCGACAAUUGUAUGACUAUUUUCUUAUCAUUAAUUCCAUCAUAUGCAUACAUUUUAUAUCAAAAGCUAAUUUAGCAUUAAUCAAUUUAAAUAAUAAUUAAAAGAAAAAUUAAGUUCAAGUCCACGAACUUACCUUAACAAAACAGUCGUAAUAGUGAGGCCGCUAGCUACUCCAUUACCUUCGUUUUUCCACGAUUCACAUCUGAUUGAUUUGUUCCUUAACCAAAGUUCAUAAUUUCAUUAUCAAACCCUAAAAUCCUAAAUUUAAUAAAAUCAUAGUUUGCUAAAUUUAUUUAUAGCAUUUAACUAAUUUCUAGUCAUUGCUAACCAAUCUCAUAUCACAAAAUAAUCUACAUAUAUUUAAUGAACUUAGUAAAUAAGUCCCAAAUUUUCCAGCAUUGAAUAGUACACUAAAACAGUCCCUAUACUUCAUCAAAUUAACAAUUUAAGCUAUGUUAUUUCAAAUUUAUAACCUUUUAGCCCUAAGAAUUAUUAUCAAUAAUACCACCACUCAUUAUGACCAAUUUAAUCUACAAAAUUUAUACUCAAAUCUUCAUAUAAAAAACAUUUAGUAUUCAACAAAAUAACCUCAAACCUUCACAUUUCUCAUCCAUGGAGACUUCCAUAAUUUCUAUUUACUCUUAACAUUUCCAUAUGGUUAAACUAACCCAUAAUAUUUUAUCAUAAAAAACAUAGAUUUCAUGCUAAAUAAUCAACUUUUACUUACAAUUUUACUCAUGUAUUCAACCCCCAUAGCAGAACAUUUCUUUCCCCCUUUCUCUUCUUCUAUUUUCUGCAGCAAGGAGAAGAGAAAAUUUUUCACUCCCACACUCAAUCUUCUUUUCACCUACUAUAUCUUUUAUCUCUUCUAUUUAC
rnacentral:lncRNA from 1 species